UACAGAGGUCUCAAGCGUUGUUCGGAUUCAUUGGGCGUAAAGGGUGCGUAGGCGGCGCGGUAAGUCGGGUGUGAAAUUUCGGAGCUUAACUCCGAAACUGCAUUCGAUACUGCCGUGCUUGAGGACUGGAGAGGAGACUGGAAUUUACGGUGUAGCGGUGAAAUGCGUAGAUAUCAGGAGGAACACCGGUGGCGAAGGCGGGUCUCUGGGCCGAUACUGACGCUGAGGAGCGAAAGCGUGGGGAGCGAACAGG
rnacentral:rRNA from 1 species